rfam:Schistosoma mansoni strain Puerto Rico chromosome 4, complete genome
AUCUAGCUGACGAGUUCCAAAUUGGACGAAACGGGGAUCCUGGAU